rnacentral:rRNA from 1 species
UACGUAGGGUGCAAGCGUUAAUCGGAAUUACUGGGCGUAAAGCGUGCGCAGGCGGUGAUGUAAGACAGGUGUGAAAUCCCCGGGCUUAACCUGGGAACUGCAUUUGUGACUGCAUCGCUGGAGUGCGGCAGAGGGGGAUGGAAUUCCGCGUGUAGCAGUGAAAUGCGUAGAUAUGCGGAGGAACACCGAUGGCGAAGGCAGCCUCCUGGGCCAGCACUGACGCUCAUGCACGAAAGCGUGGGGAGCAAACAGG